CCUACGGGUGGCAGCAGUGGGGAAUAUUGGGCAAUGGGCGCAAGCCUGACCCAGCAACGCCGCGUGAAGGAAGAAGGCCCUCGGGUUGUAAACUUCUUUUGUCAGGGACGAAGCAAGUGACGGUACCUGACGAAUAUGCCACGGCUAACUACGUGCCAGUAGCCGCGGUAAUACGUAGGUGGCAAGCGUUAUCCGGAUUUAUUGGGUGUAAAGGGGGUGUAGGCGGGAAUGCAAGUCAGUUGUGAAAACUAUGGGCUCAACCCAUAGCCUGCAUUUGAAACUGUCAUUCUUGAGUGCUGGAGAGGCGAUCGGAAUUCCGUGUGUAGCGGUGAAAUGCGUAGAUAUACGGAAGAACACCAGUGGCGAAGGCGGAUUGCUGGACAGUAACUGACGCUGAGGCGCGAAAGCGUGGGGAGCAAACAGGAUUAGAUACCCCAGUAGUC
rnacentral:rRNA from 1 species